GAAAAUACAGCUUCCUGUUAAGACGCCCAUCGUGCACUGCUGAAGGUGAGAGCGUUCUUGACAUCGCUCUGUCUGUCAAGCCUAACACAAGCUUGAGGACGCCGGGGCUUAAAACACGCAGGAAACUGUGACGACUGAUUAGAUAAAACAUAAGAAAGUGACUUAUGGUGUCUUAGAAGAGGCCUCUUACACCCCGUUAUGGCAAAGUUCCUUGGACCAAGGUUUUUGCUCCUGGUCCUGGCAGGAGUCGCGUUAUGUACACCAACCUCAUCCCAAGAU